AUCCCUUCGGGGACAUCCAAUAAAAUUGGAACGAUACAGAGAAGAUUAGCAUGGCCCCAACGCACGGAUGACACGCACAAAUCAACAAAAUGGUCCAUAUUUUU